UACGUAGGGUGCAGGCGUUAAUCGGAAUUACUGGGCGUAAAGCGUGCGCAGGCGGUCUGCUAAGAGAGAUGUGAAAUCCCCGGGCUUAACCUGGGAACUGCGUUUCUAACUGGCAGGCUUGAGUGUGGCAGAGGGGGGUGGAAUUCCACGUGUAGCAGUGAAAUGCGUAGAGAUGUGGAGGAACACCGAUGGCGAGGGCAGCCCCCUGGGCUAACACUGACGCUCAUGCACGAAAGCGUGGGGAGCAAACAGG
rnacentral:rRNA from 1 species